UCACUUUGACACGCCGGCAAAAGGACUGCCCUGUAACCAGGGUGUAAGGUCUUAUCCCUCUCCUUCGUAAACUAGGAGAGCCCCUUUGUGCCUGUGGCUGAGUGACCCCCCUUUAAGAAGGGCUGAGGUUCUCCUUCUGCUGGUCACAGUAAAUUGCACUCGAAUGAUUUCUACUUGGCUUUUCUGGGUUCUGAAGUGAAAUCUGAUUUGUGUCCUAUGUAUUUCCCGUCCGGGUCACAUGUAACCUGGUGUGGCGAAGGGGCGGCUGUAAGGGGAUGGUGGAGGCCGUGAAAAAUUCAACCCUUUCUUCAAAAAAGCCAAGAAAUCACCAAAGUCCAAAGUGAGCUCCCUCUAACUAGGGUGCAGGUCUUUCCCCAGAUUACACUCCCCUUUGAAAGGUAGUUCUAGAAACCAGCCUCUUGAGAGAGCUAAGGGUUUGCCCUUGUAGCUGUCCUGUGCCCGUGGCCUCCUCACGCUCUCAGCCAAGUCAAAGCCCAGCGUAUUCUGCAUCCAGCCGGCCCUGAGUUCUGCUGCAAGCUCUCCUGCCUUCUGCUACGGAUUGGUGCCGAAACCUAGGAAUUGGGCAACUCAAAGGACAAAAGGAAGACGACGACAGAAGCACCAAAGAAACUGCAG